rnacentral:rRNA from 1 species
UACGUAGGGGGCAAGCGUUGUCCGGAAUCAUUGGGCGUAAAGAGCGUGUAGGCGGCCAGAAAAGUCCGCUGUGAAAACUCGAGGCUCAACUUCGAGCUGUCGGUGGAAACUUUCUGGCUAGAGUCCGGAAGAGGAGAAUGGAAUUCCUGGUGUAGCGGUGAAAUGCGCAGAUAUCAGGAAGAACACCCGUGGCGAAGGCGGUUCUCUGGGACGGUACUGACGCUGAGACGACGAAAGCGUGGGGAGCGAACAGG